rnacentral:rRNA from 1 species
UGUUUCGGCUAGGGGGCCAUCCCGGCUUACCAACCCGAUGCAAACUACGAAUACCGAAGAAUGUUAUCACGGGAGACACACGGCGGGUGCUAACGUCCGUCGUGAAGAGGGAAACAACCCAGACCGCCAGCUAAGGUCCCAAAGUCAUGGUUAAGUGGGAAACGAUGUGGGAAGGCACAGACAGCCAGGAUGUUGGCUUAGAAGCAGCCAUCAUUUAAAGAAAGCGUAAUAGCUCACUGGUCGAGUCGGCCUGCGCGGAAGAUGUAACGGGGCUAAACCAUGCACCGAAGCUGCGGCAGCGACACUAUGUGUUGUUGGGUAGGGGAGCGUUCUGUAAGCCGUUGAAGGUGUGCUGUGAGGCAUGCUGGAGGUAUCAGAAGUGCGAAUGCUGACAUAAGUAACGAUAAAGCGGGUGAAAAGCCCGCUCGCCGGAAGACCAAGGGUUCCUGUCCAACGUUAAUCGGGGCAGGGUGAGUCGACCCCUAAGGCGAGGCCGAAAGGCGUAGUCGAUGGGAAACAGGUUAAUAUUCCUGUACUUGGUGUUACUGCGAAGGGGGGACGGAGAAGGCUAUGUCAGCCGGGCGACGGUUGUCCCGGUUUAAGCAUGUAGGCGGAGGUUCCAGGUAAAUCCGGUACCUUGUUAACGCUGAGGUGUGAUGACGAGGCACUACGGUGCUGAAGUGAUAAAUGCCCUGCUUCCAGGAAAAGCCUCUAAGCAUCAGGUAACACGAAAUCGUACCCCAAACCGACACAGGUGGUCAGGUAGAGAAUACCAAGGCGCUUGAGAGAACUCGGGUGAAGGAACUAGGCAAAAUGGUGCCGUAACUUCGGGAGAAGG